UGAAGGGAAUUCUUCCCUGAGAGAUAGCAAUGACAAGGCGAAGGAUAAAUGAUUUCAGGAAGAGAUUCUUGGUUUUAAGAGGCCGAGUCUGCACCAGCGGUGGGAGGGCUUCGUCGGCGAGGGAUCGGAGGAGAAGAAGGCGUUGUUCAGCUUGCGGAGAUCGUCUAUAAUCGGACGGUCGAGCAUGACGGUAGAGGUGUACACCAACCCCGCCGAGGAGUACCAGAUUGAAGGCUCCUUAGCGUGCCGAAACUGCAACAUUCUGGCCGCGGAUAAGGAGAUCGUGGCUGAGAUCCGGCGCAAGGUGGACGGUGUUGAGCUUGGUUUGUGUUAGUGCAUAACGGGCAUAAAGGGGCGGUGUUGAGCUUGGUUUGUGUUAGUGACGGAUUAGUGACCCGGUAAUUAAAAUCGUCAAAAAUUUGACGGAACCGUCCAAAAAGGACCAAAUGUGACCCGUUUUCAAAUGUGAGGGACUGAAUAAUUCAAAAGAUAAUGUUUUGGUCCAAAAUAAAAAAAUCACAAUAUAUUAAGGACCAUUUUGGUACUUUAGUCUAAUAUAUAUUAUCACUAACUUUGCAUUUUGUUUGGUA